CAGCUGAAUAUUAUAUUAUUUGUGCUUGAUAGAUUCGCGGCUUGUGUCUGUUUUGAGGAUUUUCUGCAUCUCUAGGACACGAUGUUUGUCCGAGUUGGUCAUUAUCAUCGUCCGUUAACACAUGUAUCGAGUCAGAUGAGUUUAAUUAACAGAGUCUUUAGUUUAGCAAUUAUUUAAAACUUCUUUGUUUGUAGGUUAUUGGCUGAAUAUAUAAAACUAACAAGGCUGUGUUGUUGUGGAUGUUUGAUGCAUGUUUAUUUUUAAGGGAGUGUUUAUGAUAGUUGGGAGAGAAUGAAAACGAAUGAAUGGAAGUUUAAAGGAAAAGAUGAAUAAAUAAAUCAUGAUUGCAUUACAGUUCAGUAAGUGUCUAAAUGCAAAUAAACCGCGAAUCACCAAAAAAUAAAAGUAGUUCUGAAAGAUAGAUGGUGACAAACAUCAUGUUGUAACAGACUGAACGCGGAAACAAAGACGAGAAACACGUGUCAGUGAAUCACACGAUCAUUAAAGGUAGUUUUUCCUCACUAUAGUAAAUAAAUCCACAGCAGCGUAUUUGAAAAGCUCCAGAAAGUUGCAGUGGUUUCUCUACUGAAGGACGUCUGGACAGAUGGAGAGUUCACUGACUGGCGCGUAUCUCUUCCAGAACAAUCAACCAAUCAGCAACACUUCUGUUUAUGUCUGCUGAAUGAAUAAAACGUGUCAGGAUUUCAGUUUACUGGAUUUAUAUUAAUGUCAUGGUAAUAUAACACAGCACAACACAAUCAUAUACAUAUACUUUAUAUUCAUUAAGAAAUAAGAAAAGGUUUGUUAGAUUUACUCUGAUAAAUGAAUAUGGAAAUAUAUAAUCAAGCUGUGUGAAAUCGUGUGUUAUUGGCAGGUCUUUACUCACACUGAGAGUUUACACACACUCUUCAUAACCAGAUGAAACUAUGUGCACGUGUCUGCUGCUCUCCAAAAAUAUGCAUUAUCAAAGAAUAUCAAAAGGACUAUUGUGUAAAUUAUUAAUUAUAUUUUCUUGCUGUAUGUUAAUUGAUAGAGCAAAUAAAAUGACUGAGUCUUGAUUUAAUCAGUGAAGAUUAGAAAUCAAUAUCCUUCUUUGAAGUCAUGGUUUAAAAUGAUUAAACUAAGUAAGUGUUAAGGGUCAGUGUUUAAAGUCCCCGUGAACCGGAAGUUGCAAACGACUUUUCUCCAGUGUUGUGACGUAUUUCCGAGAGAAACGGAAUACUAAAUGAGGCAAAAUAGUGGGCGUGGCUUUUUUUUCCAACUAGCACCUGAUUGGAUCUAAAAAAUUAGGCGUUUCAUUCAAAAAUGGAGGCAGAUCUAAACGCAAGUUUACAAUCGGUUGUUGAGGAUUACUCGCCGCCUGAAACACCGCCAGCAGUCCCCUUCCUGCAGCAGGAGGAGGAGGAGGAAGAUGAAGAACAGGAACACACGGAGGAUCAUUUCGUCACGGGGGAAUCAGACCUUACAUGUUUGAGCCGUUACAUGCGGAGGGUUCGAAUGGUCACCUGGACGUGGCGGCUCAGGAGCAAGUUCACACUCGCGAGCAUCUCGAUGUGUCCCAAUGGUAACACUAAUUGGAAUUAUAAAACUAUUUUUAUUUGCAAUUACUGCUGAAACCUUAACCGUUAUGAUAGUAACAUGCGUUUUAUGUUUUCAUAAGUUUUUGAAUGUUGUACAUUGUCUAGAAUAGUUGCCUACAUCUAUAAUUGACAGAUAAUUAAGCUUACCACGAUUAAACCACAACUUUAAUUUGUCAACUUAAACUGUACUAUGCUUUUCAUUCAGGUGCUCCUGUGGCUACUGCCAGCACAUGGACACUGGUCUUGAAAGACUAUGUUGUAGGGAGGUUAGGCAGGUUUGUGACAGAAGUGCAGAGAAUGGGUAUAAUGUUAUUAAUCAGCCUAUACAUGACACAGCAGCUGAGUAGAACUGAAGAUAGCAAACUCUAUGACUUCAAAAACCGUAACAUGUGUUAAUACAUUACAUAACAUAUACUACAGUCUAGAAUAAAUUACUAAUACUAGAGUAAAAUACUAAAACUACAUAAUUGUUAUAUUAUUUUAUUAUAUAGGUUGUUGAUAAAUGUGCAGAAGCAGAAAUGCAAACUGGAUGCAUGACUCAACACCCAGGUUUUGAAGCGGUCUGCUUGAACCCAUGGGUUCUUCAAGUUGAAUAUGCAUCCUUGGUCCAGUAUUAUGGUGACUAUGACCAAGAUGUUUUUACUAUCGAAGAGUAAGUGAGUAAUCAUAUCUGCAACAGUCAGUUUCUGUCCUGCAAAAAUGCAUUAUGUAGUUUACUUUUUUUGUCUUUAGGCGAUACCGUCACACCGCCUACAGGACCUUUGUCAGAUGGUGUUGGGGCUACUUGGGGAAAAAAAAUACGUGUUGUCCUCCCAUCAUGUGUUGUUGUUAAAAUAAGAUCCACAUUCACAUCAGAGAGAUACACAGGCUUCAAGCUACCUUCACUACAUCCACAAUAGCAAGUGAUGUGUAUGUGAACUGUAUGUAAUAAAUAAUG